CAAUUGAAAAAAUAAAACUACUACUACUAUUAGUUAUCAAUUAACAUUCCCGCCAAAAAGUUCACAAUUGAAUAUUGACUGAAUAAGACUAACAAAUGGUAUUUUAUUAUGAUAUCGUACUGUGUUUAUUACUUUUCUCAUUUAUUUACUGUUAGAUCAUUUCGUUCAAUUUUAAAAUUAAUCUGUGUGUAAUUAGUACCUACAUUUCAGAUUUAUCAUGAACAAUGCUCGUGUUGCUUAUCUUUGGGAUGAGAAAUUAGUGAAGGAAUGUAUUAGGCUACCAGCAGUAUUCGGCAGGGCUCGACUCGUGCACAAUUUAAUCGAAGCAUAUGGUCUGAUUAGUAAAUUGAAAGUAAUCCGUUCAUCUCCAGCAAGUUAUGAAGAUUUAAACGUUUUUCAUUCAGACUUAUAUUUAGAACAUUUAAAACAAAUAACAGACAUUGAUGAUGAUUACAUUUCUAAUGCUCAAGAUGAAAAUUUUGGGAUAGGAUAUGAUUGUCCCCCUGUCCCUAAUAUGUUCGAGCUGGUGUCAACCAUUGCUGGAGGUUCAGUGACGGCUGCUAAGUGUUUGACGAUGGGUAUUGCUGAUAUAGCCAUUAAUUGGUGUGGGGGCUGGCAUCAUGCACAUAAUAAUCGUGCAGAGGGUUUCUGUUACGUAAACGACAUUGUAAUAGCAAUAGAAAAAUUGAAAGGAAAAUUCAAAAAUAUUUUAUACGUUGAUUUAGAUGUGCAUCAUGGCAAUGGUGUUCAAGAUGCUUAUUGGACGACUCGGUCAGUAUACACAUUGUCUUUUCACAAGUUCGAACCAGGUUUCUAUCCAGGUACAGGGAGUAUAGAAGACAUUGGUUGCGGUGACGGUGAAGGAUAUUCAUGUAACUUCCCACUUAAUGAAGCUUAUUCCGAUAAUACAAUUCAAUUUGUUUUUGAAAAGGUAUUCAAUUCUGUUUAUUCGAAUUUUGCUCCUGACGCAAUCGUAGUACAAUGCGGGGCUGACGCAUUGUCUCAUGAUCCGCACGGCGGUGCUUGUUUGACUAGUCGCGGUUAUUGCGCCUGCAUAAGCACUGUUCUCGAUAAACAAAAACCUACAAUGCUACUCGGAGGGGGAGGAUACAACCACUCAAAUACUGCUCGUCUGUGGACAACCUUGACAGCUUUCGUUACUGGUGUAGAAUUAGAUGAGAUAAUUCCUGAACACAAUGAGUGGCCUGAGUAUGGACCAGAUUACAUGCUUCCUGUUCAAGGCACCCUUAUUAAGGAUACAAACAAGAAAUCUUAUCUUGAAGACUGUAUAAAUAAAAUAAAUGGUAAUAAUAAAAAAAAACAUAAGUUAUAAUAACCAACUUAUAUAACACCAUUAAGACAAGACAGCCAAGCAGCUGGUGUUUGGUAGUCCCCACGGCCUCUGGACGAACUAUGGAAGUUGUACAUCAAAACUGUACAAUAUAACUGAGAUAAUAUGAAAAACGAACGAAUUAAAUAAAUGUCAAUAUAAAAACCAAUCAAGAAAACUUGAAAAAACACUUAGCCAAAACGGAAAAACUUGAACCUGAAUCAAAAAUAUAUAAAACAGGUGGAGAAUUGGUAAAAAGUGAUUAUAAAAUAAACAAGAGCUAUAUUCCUAAA